CUCGCACCGGCGCUGGGGUGCAGGCUUUCAGUGGUCUCAGGGCUACGGCUUGUCGGUGCCUCGCCGCACAGUCCCCUUUGCAUUGAAGGACACGGUCUUACGGUGUAGGAGCAUUUUUGAGGUGCAUUCCUGGAUUUGGAGGCGAACCCCCAAUGGUUACCUCCACAGAGGCUUUGCGAAGGGCGCUCACUGACUUAGGUGAAGAGCGAAGGCUCAAGACUGUGCCGCUUUAUAGUGGCCCCUUGACGUCCAGAAGUUCCCCCCAGCGCCGGUCAUAAGCACUCCCGCCGCCUGGGCCCCGCCCUGCCUGCCAGGCGCCCUCCAGCCUCAGCUCCCGGACGCCCGGCGUGGCCGCUUUCUCGCGUCUUGCUGACCCGGGCCGGGGGCGUGUGCUCCUCCUGCAGCGGACGGAAGAUGCUGGGCCACGCAAGUUUCCCUGGGCUUGGUUAACCACCCCAAAGCCCAUUUCCAGAAGGAAAGGGUGUUGAGGAGGAGGGAUAGAAAGUCGAGAAGAGGGCCGGCUCUAAACUCCCAUGGUGCUGGAGCAGCCAGAGAAGAAGUGUUACUAGACCUGCCACUGCUACCUACAGUGAGCCCCAUUCUGCACACAGAGGCUGCGGACUCCUUUUUCCCAAUCAUAGACCAGAAUGCUUGUGAAAGAAGAUGUGGCUGUUCUGCAGGUUGGAGCUCUAGGAUCGGAAGAACUCAUCUGUAUCACAUAUGAUCCAGCUGAAAGUCCCUACAAACUGGGCCCUCUGUGUCUUUAGAAGCAGCUUCCAAGGGCAGGAAGACUUCCAGAGUGCAGGACUGAGCGUGCUGCUAAUCUUGUUCUGGUCGAGAGACUGAUGAGAGAGACAAGAAUUAUGGCGCGAGAAAAGCAGCAGCAGCAGCAGCAAGUCUGCAGAGGGGAAUGCCAAACUCGCUACUGGGUGUUUUUUUUUGUUUUGUUUUGUUUUGUUUUGUUUUGUUUUGUUUUGUUUGAUACAGAGUUUCACUCUGUCACCCAGGCUGGAGUAGAGUGGUGCCAUCUCAGCUCAUUGCAACCUCUGCCCCCUGGGUUCAAGCAAUUCUCCUGCCUCAGCCUUCCGAGUAGCUGGGAUUAUAGGCAUGUGCCACCAUGCCUGGCUAAUUUUUGUAUUUUUAGUAGAGACAGGGUUUUGCCAUGUUGGCCAGGCUGGUCUCAAACUACUGACCUCAAGUGAUCCGCCCGCCUGGCCCCCCAAAGUACUGGGAUUACAGGUGUGAGCCACCAUGCCUGGCCUGCUGUGAUUUUUCAUUGAACCUAAUUAACUCAUUUUUAGCCCCUAUUUUUGGUACAAUAAUAGAACUUAGGUUGUAAUCAACUGGUGGGUUCUUUCCGCACACUGCACAGAUAAGAUCAGUCCACAGAGACCACAGCGUUGCAGUAAAGAAAGAGUUUGAUGUGAGGCCAGCCACGUGGGAAAACUGGAGUUAUCACUCAAAUCAGUCUCCCCAAAGGCUUGGAGGUCAGGAUUUUUGUGGACAAUUUGGUGGGCAGGGAGCUAGGGAAUGGGUGUUGCUGAUGGGUAGGGGGUGAAAUCAUAGGGGUGUGGAAAACAGUCCUGAUGUGCUGAGUUUUCCUCUGGGUGGGGCCACAGGACCAGCUGAAUCAUGAAUCCAGGUGGGGCCAGUGUGAAGAACGUAUCAAAAAAUCAAUCUUAGGUUCUACAAUAGUGAUGUUAUCUAUAGGAGCAAUUGGAGAAGUCACAAAGCUUGUGACCCCUGGCCACAUGACUCCUGGGCAGUAAGAGAUUACUAUGUCUACAUUUUAGCAGAGUUCAUGCCUUUCCCACAACUCUAAUCUUGUAGCCCUUCAUUAAUCUUACAAAGGCGGUUUUCAGUCCCUGAGCAAGGAGGGGUUUAUUUUUGGGAGGGACUAUUAUCAUCCUUUAUUUCAGGUUAAACUAUAAACUAGAUUCCUGCCAAAGUUGGCUUGGUCUACGUCCAGGAAUGACAAGGACAGCUGGGAGGGCAGAAGCAAGAUGGAGUCAAUUAUGUCCAAUUUAUCUUACUGUCAUAAUUUUUCAAAGGCAGUUUCAAGGUUACUAUUCUCAUGAUUCAACACAUCCUCAAGGAGUGAGAUUCAGUCUGUGUAAGUGUAUCAUGACUUUCUAUAACACGCCUUGUCAUGCACUCUUCUACCCUGCUAGAAUUGGAGUCUGGCCUCAGCUGGUUCCUACCAGCAGUACUGCCAUCACCUCAUCCUCAUCUGCCCCAUCUGUUGUUUUGGAACCACUUGUGUCCUCUGAAAUGCAUAUGUUGAAGUCCUAACCACCUGUGCCUCAGAAUGGGACUAUGUUUGGAGAAAGGGUUUUAAAGAGGUACUUAAAGUUAAAUGAGAUCAUUACUGUGAACCCUGAUCCAAAUUGACUUAUGCCCUUAUAAGAAAAGGAAAUUUGGCCACUUACACUCACAGAGGAAGAAAUCAUUUGAAGACACAGAGAGAAGAGGGCCGAGGAGAGAGGUCUCAGAGAAACCAACCCAAUGACAUUUCGUCUUGGAUUUCCAGCCCCCAGAAUUACUGGAAAAUACAUUUUUCUUGUUUAGGCCACCCAAUCUGUACUACUUUGUUAUGGCAACCCUAGCAAACUAAUGCAGUCACCAACCCAGGGUGAAAAUGGGACAUUCCCAACUCUAGCUCUUAGGCCAAGCUUAUUUGUAAUAGAUUCUUGUUUUCAAAGGAUAUAGAUAUUGAGAUUCUCAAUGUAUUUGUUAAAAUACAUUGUUUCUUGUUAAAAGCAUAAGACUUUGAAAUGUCUCUGUGUUGCAGAUAUGUAGAUGUUCUGAGCCAUAAUUUUUGGAAAAUUCUUUCAAAGAAAAGGAAAUCUACUGGACAAAUAGCAUGAUUAAUGGGGAUCUAGUGACAAAAUAAUCUGCCCUAAUUGGAUUUGUGAUGUUUUUGCAACUUGAAAUUAGCUUCAAAAUCCAACAAUAAUACGAAAGAAUGUUCAGUAUCACGAAUCAAAUUAAAACCAUAAUUAAAUCACCUCCUUUCAUUAGGGUAGCUACUAUAAAAAAAAAGUAAAACAAAACAGAAAAUAGCAACUGUCGGCAAAGAUGUGGAGAAAUUGGAACCCUUGUGAAACCAUCCCACAGUGUUGACAAGAAUUGCAUGCUGGGUUCUGGACAGAAAUAGUUCCAAUUAAGUACUAAUCAGUCUGCACUUGGGCCCACUUACUCGUUGUUAAAAGUCAUGUAGCCCUGGAUGCUGACCAUGUACAUCUGCAUUGUUCCUAUAGAUAAGAUCUCUGACAUUAGAAUCAUAAGGCUUUUGUUUAAGGAUCACUUAUGAUGUUUUUCACACCCCAAAUUCCAGCAGCCAGUUUGAAGACUCCCACAGAGUAAUGGGAUCAAUAUGAGAAUACAGCUUCUUCAUCUCCCUAUCUCAUGACUUCACCCUCUACUCUUCCAACCAAUCAGUGAUCUCCACAUUGCAGCCCAUUCCAACACUCUUAAAAACCCCUACCCCCAAAUGCCUCAGGGAGACAGAUUUGAGGUUUCUUCUCAUCUCAUUUAGUGACCCUAUGAUUAAACCCCUUUCCUUGCUACAACCUGGUGUCUCAGCUUAUUAUUUGCUGUGUGCAUGGGGCAAUGAACCUAUUUCAGUUACACUUGUGCACUGUUGGCAAGAAGGUAAAAUGGUACAGCCACUAUGGAAAAUGGUAUGAAAGUUUCUCCAAAAAUUAAAAAUAGAAUUCUCAUGUAACCCAGCAGUCCCACUUCUGGGCAUAUAUAUCCAAAGGAAGUCAAAUUAGUAUCUCAAAGAGACCUUUGUACACCCGUGUUCAUAAUAGCAUUAUUCACAGUAGCCAGAAGUUGGGAACAAUCCAAUGUCCAUUGACAGAUGCACAGAUAAACAAAAUACGGUAUAUACAUAACAAUGGAAAAUUAUUCAGCCUUGAAAAAAACUGAAAGUCUGACAUGUACUAUAACAUGAGUGAACCUUGAGGACAGUAUGAUAAGUGAAAUGAGUCAGAAGCAAAAAGACAAAUAUUGUAUGAUUCCAUUUACAUAAGGUACCCAGAGUAGUCAAAUUCAUAGAGAUACAAGGUGUCUGCUGGAAUGGCGGUUGCCAGGGGAUGGGGGAAGGGAAAAUGGGAAGCUGUUGAAAUGAGUCCAGAGUUUCAGUUUGGAAAUGAUGACAGAGCUCUGGAGAUUGGUUGCACCACAAUAUGAACAUAGUUAACACUAUGGCAUUGUACAUUUAGAAAUGAUUAAGAUGGAAAAUUUUACGUUAGAUGUAUUUUACCACAACUAAAAAUUUAAAAGAAAGAAAAAAACAGCUAUGAAGAUUUCUAAGUCUUGGGCCUUAUUUUGCCAUGAGGAAAAAUAAAUACAUCCCAUAAAAAAAAUCCUAAAUGGAUCUGGUAAUGUUAUUCUGUAUGUAAAGUCAUUUUCUUGAGCAACAUAGGAAAUAGUCUUUAAUCUUUUGGAAUAUCAUAGGAAAAAAAGCGGCUAAAAGUCACAUUGUUCUGCCUCAAUUCACCAGAGUUUUUAUGGAACUCAAUUAUUGGUUAACAGUGGAAGUUCUUGCUGGAUAAUUUUUCACUUUUCUGAUCAUCUGGGAUAGAGUUUUAAGACUUUCCUAGUUCCUCCAGGUACAGAGCUAUAGGAUUCACUUGGCUAUGUUGCUCUCCCAUUUCUACAUAGUUUUAAAAAUUAUGGAAUCUUUCUUUUCAUGGUGUUUGGUUCUAUAAUAAUCAGCGGCUGAUAAAAAAAAUCAGUGUUCUACCUCUUGAUUCUGAUGGCCGUUUUCAUACUCCUUGUAGGAACUACAAUACUGGUUUCUGUCUGAACUUGCAGCCGCAGAGCAUGAGAGAAAUAACCAUUGAACUCUAAAUAACUGCUUUCCAAAUUUUGUGCUGGCUGUCUAAUUCAAACUAUUAUCUAUCUAUCUAUCAUCUAUCAUCUAUCUAUCUAUCUAUCUAUCUAUCUAUCUAUCUUUUAUCUCAUAGCACUGUGGAAUUUAAUUUAAUUAAU
rnacentral:lncRNA from 1 species